UCAAUCCUGAUGUGUUCGUCUAUUAUAAGUAUUUUGACCGAACAAUUGUAUACUUGGGAGCUCGUUCUUGUUUUUGUAGUGAAUGCAUGCCUUUAUGAUUAUUCAUUCCUGGAAGCAUGAUAUCUAUAAAACUGGGCACCCACCUGUCUGAAGCGGGAUCAAAGCUCAAGAUAGAACGGCACAAUCGGGAUUGAC
rnacentral:other from 2 species